AGUUCUGGAGUGUCAUCACGUCAGAUUGCAAAUCUGAAGAAGCAAACUUGUUGUUUGCCAGGACUU
rnacentral:tRNA from 1 species